GCCAGCACGGUGUAGUGGUUUGUGUGUUGGACUAUGACUCUAGAGACCAGGGUUCAAUUCUCAGCUUGGCC
rnacentral:tRNA from 1 species